rnacentral:ncRNA from 1 species
UACCUGGUUGAUCCUGCCAGUAGUCAUAUGCUUGUCUCAAAGAUUAAGCCAUGCAAGUCUAAGUACGAGCUCUCGUACAGUGAAACUGCGAAUGGCUCAUUAAAUCAGUUAUGGUUCAUUUGAUCGUACAGUUUACUUGGAUAACUGUGGUAAUUCUAGAGCUAAUACAUGCGAGAAGCGCCGACCUCGCGGGAGGCGUGCAUUUAUCAGACCAAAAACCGGCCGCGUCUUCGGGCGCGUUCGCCUUGGUGACUCUGGAUAACUUUGCGGAUCGCACG